rnacentral:tRNA from 1 species
GUCCCUGUAGCGUAAUGGAUAGCGCAUUGGACGUGUAAUCCAAAGGUCGUGGAUUCGAAUCCUACCUGGGAUG